UACAGAGGUCUCAAGCGUUGUUCGGAUUUAUUGGGCGUAAAGGGCGCGUAGGCGGCGGGGUAAGUCGGGUGUGAAAUCUCAGGGCUCGACCCUGAAACUGCACUUGAUACUGCUCUGCUUGAGGACUGGAGAGGAGACUGGAAUUCACGGUGUAGCAGUGAAAUGCGUAGAUAUCGUGAGGAAGACCAGUGGCGAAGGCGGGUCUCUGGACAGUUCCUGACGCUGAGGCGCGAAGGCCAGGGGAGCAAACGGG
rnacentral:rRNA from 1 species